rnacentral:pre_miRNA from 1 species
AGGGUGGCGGCCCAGCCAGCACAGACUGGCGUGCCCCAGCCGUCCCUGGGCGAGCAUCUCUUUGAGGGGCUCACUCUCAAGCAUAAUUGGGAGGCCUCGCCUACC